GAUGAAGAACGUAGCGAAAUGCGAUAAGUAAUGUGAAUUGCAGAAUUCAGUGAAUCAUCGAAUCUUUGAACGCACAUUGCGCCCCCUGGUAUUCCGGGGGGCAUGCCUGUCCGAGCGUCAUUACAACCCCCAAGCUCAGCUUGGUGUUGGGCCCCGCCGCCCCGGCGGGCCCUAAAGUCAGUGGCGGUGCCGUCCGGCUCCGAGCGUAGUAAUUCUUCUCGCUCUGGAGGUCCGGUCGUGUGCUCGCCAGCAACCCCCAAUUUUUUUCAGGUUGACCUCGGAUCAGGUAGGGAUACCCGCUGAACUUAAGCAUAUCAAUAAGCGGAGGA
rnacentral:misc_RNA from 1 species